GACGAACGCUGGCGGCGUGCUUAACACAUGCCAGUCGAACGGAAAGGCCCCUUUGGGGGUACUCGAGUGGCGAACGGGUGAGUAACACGUGUGUAACCUGCCCUUGACUUCGGGAUAACUUCAGGAAACUGGGGCUAAUACCGGAUAGGAAUCCUUGCUGCAUGGUGGGGGUUGGAAAGCUUCGGCGGUUUUGGAUGGACUCGCGGCUUAUCAGCUUGUUGGUGGGGUAAUGGCUUACCAAGGCUUUGACGGGUAGCCGGCCUGAGAGGGCGACCGGCCACAUUGGGACUGAGAUACGGCCCAGACUCCUACGGGAGGCAGCAGUGGGGAGUAUUGCACUAUGGGCGGAAGCCUGAUGCAGCAACGCCGCGUGCGGGAUGACGGCCUUCGGGUUGUAAACCGAUUUCAGCAGGGGCGAGGCUUGUGGUGACGGUACCUUCAGAAGAAGCACCGGCUAACUCCGUG
rnacentral:rRNA from 1 species